rnacentral:rRNA from 1 species
UACAGGGGGUGCAAACGUUGCUCGGAAUUAUUGGGCGUAAAGAGCUCGUAGGCGGUUUGUCGCGUCUGCCGUGAAAGUCCGGGGCUCAACUCCGGAUCUGCGGUGGGUACGGGCAGACUAGAGUGAUGUAGGGGAGACUGGAAUUCCUGGUGUAGCGGUGAAAUGCGCAGAUAUCAGGAGGAACACCGAUGGCGAAGGCAGGUCUCUGGGCAUUAACUGACGCUGAGGAGCGAAAGCAUGGGGAGCGAACAGG